rnacentral:rRNA from 1 species
UUGGAGGGCAAGUCUGGUGCCAGCAGCCGCGGUAAUUCCAGCUCCAAUAGCGUAUAUUAAAGUUGUUGCAGUUAAAAAGCUCGUAGUUGAAUUUCGGGAUUAGUACGUUGGUCGUGCCUUAGGUACGUACUGGUGUUACUGGUUUCUACCUUCUGACGAACCAUCAUGUCAUUAAUUUGGUGUGGUGGGGAAUCAGGACUGUUGCUUUGAAAAAAUUAGAGUGUUUAAAGCAGGCUCGCGCUUGAAUACAUUAGCAUGGAAUAAUGAAAUAGGACGUUGAUCCUAUUUUGUUGGUUUCUAGAAUUGACGUAAUGAUUAAUAGGGAUAGUUGGGGGCAUUAGUAUUCAAUUGUCAGAGGUGAAAUUCUUGGGUUUAUUGAAGACUAACUACUGCGAAAGCAUUUGCCAAGGAUGUUUUCAUUAAUCAAGAACGAAAGUUAGGGGAUCGAAGACGAUCAGAUACCGUCGUAGUCUUAACCAUAAACUAUGCCGACUAGGGAUCGGAUGAUAUUAAUUUUUUAAUGACUCAUUCGGCACCUUACGGGAAAC